CCUACGGGUGGCAGCAGUGAGGAAUAUUGGUCAAUGGUCGGGAGACUGAACCAGCCAAGCCGCGUGAGGGCUGAAGGUACAGAGUAUCGUAAACCUCUUUUGUCAGGGAACAAAGGCGGGGCCGUGUCCCCGGAUGAGUGUACCUGAAGCAAAAGCAUCGGCUAACACCGGGCCAGCAGCCGCGGUAAUACGGAGGAUGCAAGCGUUAGCAGGAUUUAUUGGGGUUAAAGGGUGCGCAGGCGGUCUGUUAAGUCAGCUGUCAAAGCCGGGGGCACAAACCCGGCCCGCCGUUGAAACUGGCAGUGUCGAGUGGGAGAGAAGUAUGCGGAAUGCGCGGUGUAGCGGUGAAGUGCAUAGAUAUCGCGCAGAACUCCGAUUGCGAAGGCAGCAUGCCGGCUCCACACUGACGCUGAGGCACGAAAGCGUGGGUAUCGAACAGGAUUAGAUACCCGAGUAGUC
rnacentral:rRNA from 1 species